CCUGAUCCAGCAAUGCCGCGUGUGUGAAGAAGGCCUUCGGGUUGUAAAGCACUUUUGUCCGGAAAGAAAUCCUUGGUUCUAAUAUAGCCGGGGGAUGACGGUACCGGAAGAAUAAGCACCGGCUAACUACGUGCCAGCAGCCGCGGUAAUACGUAGGGUGCAAGCGUUAAUCGGAAUUACUGGGCGUAAAGCGUGCGCAGGCGGUUUGUUAAGACCGAUGUGAAAUCCCCGGGCUCAACCUGGGAACUGCAUUGGUGACUGGCAAGCUAGAGUAUGGCAGAGGGGGGUAGAAUUCCACGUGUAGCAGUGAAAUGCGUAGAGAUGUGGAGGAAUACCGAUGGCGAA
rnacentral:rRNA from 1 species